AUUGAACGCUGGCGGCAUGCUUUACACAUGCAAGUCGAACGGUAACAGGCCUUCGGGUGCUGACGAGUGGCGAACGGGUGAGUAAUGCAUCGGAACGUGCCCAGAGGUGGGGGAUAACGCAGCGAAAGCUGUGCUAAUACCUCAUGUGAUCUGAGGAUGAAAGCGGGGGACCAGGCAGCAAUGUUUGGCCUCGCGCCUUUGGAGCGGCCGAUGUCAGAUUAGGUAGUUGGUGGGGUAAGGGCCUACCAAGCCGACGAUCUGUAGCUGGUCUGAGAGGACGACCAGCCACACUGGGACUGAGACACGGCCCAGACUCCUACGGGAGGCAGCAGUGGGGAAUUUUGGACAAUGGGCGCAAGCCUGAUCCAGCAAUGCCGCGUGCGGGAAGAAGGCCUUCGGGUUGUAAACCGCUUUUGUACGGAACGAAAAGGCUCUGGCUAAUACCUGGGGCUGAUGACGGUACCGUAAGAAUAAGCACCGGCUAACUACGUG
rnacentral:rRNA from 1 species